rnacentral:rRNA from 1 species
CCUACGGGUGGCUGCAGUGGGGAAUAUUGGACAAUGGGCGAAAGCCUGAUCCAGCCAUGCCGCGUGUGUGAAGAAGGCCUUCGGGUUGUAAAGCACUUUCAGUGGGGAAGAAAGCCUUGGGGCUAAUACCCUCGAGGAAGGACAUCACCCACAGAAGAAGCACAGGCUAACUCCGUGCCAGCAGCCGCGGUAAUACGGAGGGUGCGAGCGUUAAUCGGAAUUACUGGGCGUAAAGCGCGCGUAGGCGGUCUGAUAAGCCGGUUGUGAAAGCCCCGGGCUCAACCUGGGAACGGCAUCCGGAACUGUCAGGCUAGAGUGCAGGAGAGGAAGGUAGAAUUCCCGGUGUAGCGGUGAAAUGCGUAGAGAUCGGGAGGAAUACCAGUGGCGAAGGCGGCCUUCUGGACUGACACUGACGCUGAGGUGCGAAAGCGUGGGUAGCAAACAGGAUUAGAUACCCCGGUAGUC